rnacentral:rRNA from 1 species
AUAGGUAUGCUUAGGGAGGAGCUUGCGUCACAUUAGUUAGUUGGUGGGGUAAAGGCCUACCAAGACUAUGAUGUGUAGCCGGGCUGAGAGGUUGAACGGCCACAUUGGGACUGAGACACGGCCCAAACUCCUACGGGAGGCAGCAGUAGGGAAUUUUCGGCAAUGGAGGAAACUCUGACCGAGCAACGCCGCGUGAACGAUGAAGUAUUUCGGUACGUAAAGUUCUUUUAUUAGGGAAGAAUAAAUGAUGGAAAAAUCAUUCUGACGGUACCUAAUGAAUAAGCCCCGGCUAACUAUGUGCCAGCAGCCGCGGUAAUACAUAGGGGGCAAGCGUUAUCCGGAAUUAUUGGGCGUAAAGGGUGCGUAGGCGGUUAAAUAAGUUUAUGGUCUAAGUGCAAUGCUCAACAUUGUGAUGCUAUAAAAACUGUUUAGCUAGAGUAAGAUAGAGGCAAGUGGAAUUCCAUGUGUAGUGGUAAAAUGCGUAAAUAUAUGGAGGAACACCAGUAGCGAAGGCGGCUUGCUGGGUCUUUACUGACGCUGAGGCACGAAAGCGUGGGGAGCAAACAGGAUUAGAUACCCUGGUAGUCCACGCCGUAAACGAUGAGUACUAAACGUUGGGUAAAACCAGUGUUGAAGUUAACACAUUAAGUACUCCGCCUGAGUAGUACGUACGCAAGUAUGAAACUUAAAGGAAUUGACGGGACUCCGCACAAGCGGUGGAUCAUGUUGUUUAAUUCGAAGGUACCCGAAAAACCUCACCAGGUCUUGACAUGCUUCUGCAAAGCUGUAGAAACACAGUGGAGGUUAUCAGUUGCACAGGUGGUGCAUGGUUGUCGUCAGCUCGUGUCGUGAGAUGUUGGGUUAAGUCCCGCAACGAGCGCAACCCUUAUUGUUAGUUACCAGCACGUAAUGGUGGGGACUUUAGCAAGACUGCCAGUGAUAAAUUGGAGGAAGGUGGGGACGACGUCAAAUCAUCAUGCCCCUUAUGACCUGGGCUACAAACGUGAUACAAUGGCUGUUACAAAGGGUAGCUGAAGCGCAAGUUUUUGGCGAAUCUCAAAAAAACAGUCUCA